UGCAGUGACUCAAGCGCGUGCGUAGCGAUGCACGGGUACCAGUCACCGCUGAUCCCGCACCGGCGUCGCGAGAGCGGAGCGUUAAGUCAUUGUUUUAAUUGCGAUAACGCUGAUAUCGUUGAAGGUGUCCGCGGGGAGAGUUUCUCUCGUUUCCCGACAGCCCUCGGUGAUGCAAAUUCAGAGCAAGCCAGCAAAAUAAAGGAUAACUUUUUUUAUGGAAAUGGUUCUGCCAGAUGACUCCCCUCCCCCCACCGCCAAGUGCAUUUUCCACACAGAUCCCAGCGUCCCCCCUGCUAACCGACUCAGCGAUGCCUGCACCCGCCUCACUUGCCAUCGCCAAAAUAUUCUGGCCCAAAACAGAGACACAGAGGAAACCAGCCAAGAAGGACUUCAAACUGGAGAAAGGGGCUGCACCGCCACGUCGUUUUUAAAGUCGCAAUGGUCCCCGAGAGCUGAGGCGACAUUUCAGGUCUGCGAUCAGAGCUCGUCUCUCUGGGAGACUGUCUGCUUCGGGGAAGCGUGCACAGCAGAAUCAGUGUUCAGCAUCACCUCAGUGACGAUCAGCACACAGCUAAUGAGCUGCUCCUCAGAUGUCUGCGCCACGUACGGACAGCUGACAUUUCAC